GGCGUCCGAUUGGGGUGCCGCGUCCCGGGGGCGCGGCUGAGAGCAUACCCAUGGAACCUGACGCGGCUCGUACCGCCGGAGGGAAUUCGGAUGCCCGCCCG
rnacentral:ncRNA from 2 species